UAGGAGGAUGGUACCAUCGUCCCUGAUCAAAGGCUGCUGAAUAUUCACAAGCAUUCCUGGAUCAAGAAGACCCGCAGACCUGUUGAAAAUCGGAUCUGAAUCAUCUGUCACUGUAGGCUCUUUACUACCAUCUUCAGGAAGGGGAAGACUGAAGUAUGCUAUUUGUGGAUCUGACUUCAGAAAAGUGCGCACCUGAAUCCACUACACUGCUUCCGCACUGAAGGACAUCAAUAUCAAUACUGUGACACUGCAUUGUGAACCUAUGUUUGCCCAGGUAAGCUCUAUCACUGCACAUCUGUAAAUCUUUACUAGAUAUGAAAUCUUGGCACGCCUCACAAGCACUAGCUUAAUUAUUUGUGUAUGCCUUCUCAUAAUUGGAACUUCAGUGAGAGGUAAUGAAUGCAACUGAAUGCAUAAGGAACAUGAAGACAGUGUGAUUUAGGACUGGCUAUCAUAACCUACAAUUGUUAUCAUCUAAUCCAUGUUACAAAAUUAUCGUAAUUCCUGAUGUCUUAAAAGAAUCCUACAUUUAAAGUACUGAAAAGUCAAAAACUGAAAUAGAAAAAUCUGUGGUUAAUCUUAUUUACCAUAUUUACC